rnacentral:sRNA from 1 species
CUUGCGUUCCCCAGCGACACAGGCCUCGAGGCUGUCUCUGACAAGUGUUCACAGGAGGUGGGGACGCCUCUGCGCGAGGAACGAGGAGCUACGGGCCUGGGCCCGGCUAUUGCCAUGGGCAGCGGCUGCCGCAUCGAAUGCAUAUUCUUCAGCGAGUUCCACCCCACGCUGGGACCCAAGAUCACCUAUCAGGUGCCACCCGGGCUCGCGGGACUGGGCGGGGAGAGGGACGUUCUUGAGAGCUCAACCGGCUGCCUGAAGGCAGUAGUUUCCCGUGCUGCACGCAGGCAUGCUACUUCAUUCGCAGACAACUGUGAGGCUAGAGGAUAGUCAGACCCAUUCCCCCGGCUCCCAGUGUAGCAGGGAAGACAUACGUCACAUUGGCAGUGUUUGUAGGAUAUCGGGCUGGAGGGAUCCGGUUGGGGGGUUCCAAGUCCCACAGAAGGUGAAGUGGGUGACCCAUGAGUAUCCCUGAACUGAGUGAAGAGUAAAUGAUGCAUAGGAAGUUUAGAUAAGGGAGGAGAAAGUGUUCCAGGUAGAGGGAACAGCAUAUGCAGAAGCCAGGAAGGAGAUGAGAUCAUAGUGUGUGUUUGGAAACAGAAAGAAGUAAUAGGGCUGAGAGGAUGGGAGAGAGGGGAACGCUGGACAAGAGGACUUGGGCUUGGGGGGCAUGAGGAGGUCACCAUUUAUACUACACCCAGUACAGAUGUCCACUGAGGGACCCAUUGCCACUCCCCUCCCCAGGUCCCUGAAGACUUCAUCUCCCGAGAGCUGUUUGACACAGUCCAAGUGUACAUCAUCACCAAGCCAGAGCUGCAGAACAAGCUUAUCACUCUAUGGAAAAGAAGCUGAUCGGCUGUCCUGUGUGCAUCGAACACAAGAAGUACAGCCGCAAUGCCCUCCUCUUCAACCUGGGCUUCGUGUGUGAUGCCCAGGCCAAGACCUGCGCCCUCGAGCCCAUCGUUAAAAAGCUGGCUGGCUAUCUGACCACACUAGAGAGAGCAGCUUCGUGUCCAUGGAGGAGAGCAAGCAGAAGUUGGUGCCCAUCAUGACCAUCUUGCUGGAGGAGCUAAAUGCCUCAGGCCGGUGCACUCUGCCCAUUGAUGAGUCCAACACCAUCCACUUGAAGGUGAUUGAGCAGCGGCCAGACCCUCCGGUGGCCCAGGAGUAUGAUGUACCUGUCUUUACCAAAGACAAGGAGGAUUUCUUCAAUUCACAGUGGGACCUCACUACACAACAAAUCCUGCCCUACAUUGAUGGGUUCCGCCACGUCCAGAAGAUUUCAGCAGAGGCAGAUGUGGAGCUCAACCUGGUGCGCAUUGCUAUCCAGAACCUGCUGUACUAUGGCGUUGUGACACUGGUGUCCAUCCUCCAGUACUCCAAUGUAUACUGCCCAACGCCCAAGGUCCAGGACCUGGUAGAUGACAAGUCCCUGCAGGAGGCAUGUCUAUCCUACGUGACCAAGCAAGGUAGUGGUGGGCUCUGAGGGAAGCCAUCUUGGGGAGGGCAGAGCCACAUGGUGAGCUGAUCCCUGGCACCCACAGGGCACAAGAGGGCCAGUCUCCGGGAUGUGUUCCAGCUAUACUGCAGCCUGAGCCCUGGCACUACCGUGCGAGACCUCAUUGGCCGCCACCCCCAGCAGCUGCAGCACGUUGAUGAACGGAAGCUGAUCCAGUUCGGGCUUAUGAAGAACCUCAUCAGGCGACUACAGAAGUAUCCUGUGCGGGUGACUCGGGAAGAGCAGAGCCACCCUGCCCGGCUUUAUACAGGCUGCCACAGCUAUGACGAGAUCUGCUGCAAGACAGGCAUGAGCUACCAUGAGCUGGAUGAGCGGCUUGAAAAUGACCCCAACAUCAUCAUCUGCUGGAAGUGAGGCUGGUAGUGGCUGGAUGGACACAUUGCUGUGGGUAGUCCCUCCUACCAGGAGGCUUGUCAUACUGUCUAGAGGUUGACUCUUAGUUCUGUAAAUAAAGACAUCCA